UGAGGAAUAUUGCGCAAUGGGCGAAAGCCUGACGCAGCGACGCCGCGUGGAGGAUGAAGGUUUUCGGAUUGUAAACUCCUGUUAAGUGGGAAGAAACGACAAAAUAUAAUACAUUUUGUAACUGACGGUACCAUUAAAGAAAGCACCGGCUAACUUCGUGCCAGCAGCCGCGGUAAUACGAGGGGUGCAAGCGUUAUUCGAAAUUAUUGGGCGUAAAGGGUGCGUAGGCGGCGUAUUAAGUCAACUGUUAAAACCUCCAGCCUAACUGGAGAUCAGCAGUAGAUACUGGUAUGCUAGAGGAUGGAAGAGAGAAGUGGAAUUCUUGGAGUAGCGGUGGAAUGCGUAGAUCUCAAGAGGAACACCAAUGGCGAAGGCAGCUUCUUGGUCCAUAUCUGACGCUGAUGCACGAAAAGCGUGGGGAGCAAACAGGAUUAGAUACCCUGGUAGUCCACGCCGUAAACGAUGAUCACUAGAUGUUAAUUCUGCUUGCAGAAUUAGUGUCGUAGCUAACGCGAUAAGUGAUCCGCCUGGGGACUAC
rnacentral:rRNA from 1 species